rnacentral:rRNA from 1 species
UACGUAGGUGGCAAGCGUUGUCCGGAAUUAUUGGGCGUAAAGCGCGCGCAGGCGGCCUCUUAAGUCUGAUGUGAAAGCCCCCGGCUCAACCGGGAAGGGCCAUUGGAAACUGGGAGGCUUGAGUAUAGGAGAGAAGAGUGGAAUUCCACGUGUAGCGGUGAAAUGCGUAGAGAUGUGGAGGAACACCAGUGGCGAAGGCGACUCUUUGGCCUAUAACUGACGCUGAGGCGCGAAAGCGUGGGGAGCAAACAGG